rnacentral:rRNA from 1 species
UGGAUCAUGCUGUUUAAUUUCGAUGAUACGCGAAGAACCUUUACCAGGUCUUGACAUCCCUUGCAGAGCUAUGGAGACAUAGUGGAGGUUAUCAAGGAGACAGGUGGUGCAUGGUUGUCGUCAGCUCGUGUCGUGAGAUGUUGGGUUAAGUCCCGCAACGAGCGCAACCCUUAUUGCUAGUUACCAUCAUUAAUUGGGGACUCUAGCGAGACUGCCAGUGAUAAACUGGAGGAAGGUGGGGAUGACGUCAAAUCAUCAUGCCCCUUAUGACCUGGGCUACAAACGUGAUACAAUGGCUGAAACAAAGGGCAGCGAAGCAGUGAUGUGGAGCGAAACCCAAAAAAGCAGUCUCAGUUCGGAUUGAAGUCUGCAACUCGACCUCAUGAAGUUGGAAUCGCUAGUAAUCGUAGAUCAGAACGCUACGGUGAAUACGUUCUCGGGUUU